rnacentral:rRNA from 1 species
UAAAAUUAUUUUUAAUAAUAUAUUAGAAAUGAAAUGUUAUUCGUUUUUAAAGGUAUCUAGUUCUUUAAGAAAUAAAUUAAAUUUAAAAAUUUUAUAUAUUUAAUUAAAUUAUUAAUUGAAUAAUUAUUAAAUUUUAAUAUUUUAUGGGAUAAGCUAUAAAAUAAAUUUUUAAAAAUUAUUAAUAUAUAAGUAUAUAAAUAUAAAUUUAAAAAUAGUUAUUAUUUAAAAAAAUGUUAUAAUUUAUUUAUAAUUAAUAUAUUAUUUAUUUAAUUUUAAAUUUUUUAUUAAAGUAUUUAUUUUAAUAUUAAAAAUAAAAAAAUAAUGAUAAAAUUAGUAUAUAAGAAUGUAUAAAUAAUAUUUGAUGAUAGGUUUUUAUAAAGAAUUCGGCAAAAUUAAUAUUCACCUGUUUAACAAAAACAUGUCUUUUUGUAUUAAUUAAAAAGUCUAACCUGCCCAAUGAUUUAUUUUUAAAUGGCCGCAGUAUUUUAACUGUGCAAAGGUAGCAUAAUCAUUAGUCUUUUAAUUGAAGGCUGGAAUAAAUGGUUGAAUGAAAUAUUAACUGUUUCAUAAAAAUUUUUAUUAUAAUUUUAUUUUUUAGUAAAAAAGCUAAAAUAAAUUUAAAAGACGAGAAGACCCUAUAAAUCUUUAUAUUUAAAUUAUUAUAAUUUUUAGGAUAUAUUUUAUUAUAAUAAUUAAUAAUAUUUUAUUGGGGUGAUAUUAAAAUUUAAAAAACUUUUAAUAAUUAAAUCAUUAAUUUAUGAUUAAUUGAUCCAUUAUUAAUGAUUAAAAAAAUAAGUUACUUUAGGGAUAACAGCGUAAUUUUUUUGGAGAGUUCUUAUCGAUAAAAAAGAUUGCGACCUCGAUGUUGGAUUAAGAUAUAAUUUUAGGUGUAGGUGCUUAAAUUUUAAGUCUGU